rnacentral:lncRNA from 1 species
CCUGGCUUGAUCUUAUUUCCCUGGCUCGCAAUUACAUCAGCCUGUGUCACUGGAAGCAGAAUGUGCAUGCAGUGUCUUUAGUCUGGAAUGUCUCUGUACUGGAAAGGCAUUAUUGCUUUAAUCAUCACCACACCCCUGGGAGGAAGCAAAGGUGGAAACUCUGACCAGCGUCCCAGCGUCACAGGCGAAGGGGUUCAGGAGACUGAGUGACUGGAUGCCUCUGUGCCCACAGACUGGAGGCAGCGCCAGCACCGGGGAGCUGGGUUCCAGUUUCGAGACACUGACCUGUGUUUCUGUGUGGAAUGUCCAACGACUCAGAUCGUUGACGACCCUGUGGCAUGCUGAAGUGUUAUAUCGACACAAAAUCGAUUUGAAUGGAGUUACAGAACCAGACACAGUUGUGCUCCUCUGCACCUGGAGAAUCCGUCACUACGCAAAGCACUUUUAUCCCAGGAGCACAUGGUCACAAGGUCUUGGACACUCAUCAGUAAAGACACCAAACAACACCCAGAGAUACCAGAUGAAUAGUUUCUCUGGAAACAAAGCUCCUCUGAAGAGAAUUACGUGGACUCGGAGACAGCCAGAGAAUCUUCUGUUCUCCCCGUUCUGAGCUGGCAGAGCUGGCUGAGAAGGAGGCCAUGGUGGGGCCAGGUCAAGUAUAUUCUUCUCAGGGCCACGCAGGCCCCUGUGAUGGUGGCUUGCCUGUACUCC